AAAAACCGAGUCAGCGAGAGCUCCUUUCUAUGGUUUGUUCCAGACUUUCCUUUUGGCUGAUUGUGAUCUAUUUCCUUAAAACAAUGGUUCUGCGUAACGCAGCCAGGUGAAUCGAAUGGUCUGUUUAUGCUUAGUGACAUUUAUUUGAAGGUUUACUAAAUUUUGAGAUACAAGACUGAAAAAGACAAACUGAAAAAUUGCUUGUAAACACAGCUAUCAUUAAAGUCAAUGGAUUACCUAGGAACAUCCAGGCAAUAUGAUAUCAGAGACUGGCAAUUUUUAUUACUCAAUGUGGCAG